rnacentral:rRNA from 1 species
AUUGCACUCUGGCGACAGGCCUAACACAUGCAAGUCGAGCGGAGCGGCGGACGGGUGAGUACUGCCUAGGAAUCUGCCUGGUAGUGGGGGAUAACUUCCGGAAACGGGCGCUAAUACCGCAUCCUAUCAGAUGAGCCUAGGUCGGAUUAGUUAGUUGGUGGGGUAAAGGCCUACCAAGGCGACGAUCCGUAACUGGUCUGAGAGGCUGAUCAGUCACACUAGAACUGAGACACGGGCCAGACUCCUACGGGAGGCAGCAGUGGGGAAUAGUGGACAAUGGGAGAAAGCCUGAUCCAGCAAUGCCGCGUGUGUGAAGAAGGUCUUCGGAUUGUAAAGCACUUUAAGUUGGGAGGCGUUACCAACAGAAUAAGCACCGGCUAACUUCGUGCCAGCAGCCGCGGUAAUUC